UAUAUAUACUCUAUUGCUUUGGAGAGGGCACACAAUUUUACCAGCAGCAUCCACCAUUAGCAGCAAACGUUCCAAUGGACGAUCCUAUUUGUGCAGCCUUAAAAUACAAAUUAAUGGGACACUUUGGAGGCAAGUACUUCAGAAAUAAAGAGCAAGCUCCCUCUGCCACUCCAGGUCACGUCAAAACCAUCAUCAUACCUUACCUAUUCCUAUACCAGAGAGAGAGUGCGGGUACAUCAUACAAAAAACCCGGAACUCCAUUGGCCAAAUAUUAUGAAUUCACGCUGAGGUCGAGGUGCAUUUUUAUACCAACCUAACUCACCUCCUUCCCCCAAACCUGGGUGCGCAUUUAAAAGCUAUUGCACGCCCGAUGGGAAGCAAUUACCUAGUAUAAUUUCGGCGGCAGUUCGCUUUUUUGGUUUCGAGUUUUUUUGCUUUCGUCUUUGUCGUAAUUUAAAUAAAAAAAUAAAAAUAAUAAAAAGAAAGAGUUAAACGCUUGA